GGAGGGGGGGCUAGCGUUAUUCGGAAUCAUUGGGCGUUAAAGGGCGCGUAGGCGGGCCUGAUAAGUCAGGGGGGUGAAAUCCCUCGGGCUCAACCGAGGAACUGCCCUUGAAACUGUCAGGCUCGAGGCCGGGAGAGGGUAGUGGAAUUCCGAGUGUAGCGGUGAAAUGCGUAGAUAUUCGGAGGAACACCAGUGGCGAAGGCGGCUACCUGGACCGGUUCUGACGCUGAGGCGCGAAAGCGUGGGGAGCAAACAGGAUUAGAUACCCUGGUAGUCCACGCUGUAAACGUUGAGCACUCGGUGCUGCGGGUGUCGACCCCUGCAGUGCCUUAGGAAACCCGUUAAGUGCUCCGCCUGGGGAGUACGGUCGCAAAGGCUG
rnacentral:rRNA from 1 species